GGAGGAGAUCUGCUCCAGCUCAAUUCUGCAAAGCUGAGCUUUCCUUCGAUAGGCUUGGAAGUGGCGUGUUGUUUGUGGAAACUUCUGAAUACUGAAAAUGAGGGGCCUUUCGUAGCACCUCAGGACAAUCAUUUCAAGUUAGCAGUCAAGCUGCGUGGAAAAAACAGCUCCUCGGCUGUGCCUGCCAGAUCCUGUUGGCUCUGCUGAAGGCUCCAUUGGGGAAUGGUCCAUUCUCAGCUGAGAUGAGCAACGACCAUUGCAAGAGCAGAAAGCCAUGCUGGUAGCAGGAGGAGGAUGUGAAAUCACACUGGAGGACCUUGAGGCACUCACAGUCCCACUGGAGAGGGAAAUACUGAGCCACAAGGAUGGAAUCUCAGUGCCCUGAAGAAACUUGCUGGGGAUUGAAUUGAAGAGAUUAUUCUGAUGGCAAGAUGACCCAGUGAGGGACUUACAUCCAUACCUGCAAGGGAAGGAGGUGACCUCUGCCUGGAGAUGAGCUGCAGAGUGACAGAGUGUUGCAGCCCUGCAUCCAAGAAGGCUUCUUUCUGUGCACCGAUAGCAGCGAAACAAAGCACAAGGAUAAAUGGUUGAAGGGUUUCUUUGGUUGAAAUCUAGCAUUGUGGAAAACUUCUGCAUUGAAAGGAGGCCUUAAUGCCUUCUCUGUCUCCAUGGAAAGUGGGUAAAUUCCCUGGCAGAGGGAAAUUGAGCUCCCUAUCUAGUGAUGUGGAUGAAAACCAACGUGGGGAGGCUGACUCCAGCCCUACAGAGAGUUUCCUUCGGCCUUUUGCUGAGGCUGCUAACAAGGGUAUGAGUUAGUAAAGUGAAUGGAAAGGAGUCCCUCUACGGACCCGCACAACUACUGUAUGCCAUCAGCCGUGGCUCAGCAAUAACUCUAUCAAAAAGAAAUAAUUUCCCAAUGGGGAACAGCUCCAUACCUGUUUUCUAGGUCUCAGGAUGGAUGUGCUGCCUCUCACCUGCACCUGACGGCACCGACACAGCCCAGAAUCACAGUGUUGAGGCUUUGGUUAGAUAUGAAGCUGACAGACCCACAUCCUCAGCAUUGGGCAACUCGGUUUGCUGUGAGAUCAGUCUGUGAAGGAGCACAAACAGAGCAGAGCAAGCCCAGGAGUUAAUGUUCCGUGUAGUGCAACACACCUUUAUUCAAACAAGAAUUGAAGGAACAGCGUUAUAAAGCCAUAAACAUCUUCAUUCAAUUAACAUAUUAAAUGAAAGGUUAAUUUAUUUGGGAUGUUUAAGUUUAAUUUUAGUCUAAUUGGGAUGUCGCGGUAUUUAAAAUGGC
ensembl:lncRNA